rnacentral:misc_RNA from 1 species
AAGUCGUAACAAGGUUUCCGUAGGUGAACCUGCGGAAGGAUCAUUAACACGCAUUGAAAGCAUCCAAUAUCAACAAAUCACAACCAAACGGUCAACUAUCUCCUCCCUAUUUCGCACACCGGAGACGGUACGAGUAGGCUAACAUGUAAAUAACAAGCUCAAGCAAUUGUGCAUGUUAUUUUCAAAACACAAGAUAACCCCUUUUAAUUAUAUUAUUCAUUUAAUAUAAACGAACAACUCUUCGAAUUUGCCCUUGAUUGUUCAAUCAAUCAGGAACAAGUCCGAACUAAACUAAAAUAUACAUUCGAUAUAUUUUUAUUUUACGAAAUAAUCUAUAUUUAUAAGAACAACUCUUAGCAAUGGAUAUCUUGGUUCUC